UAUAUAUAUAUAUAUAUAUAUAUAUAUAUAUAAUUUGUCCUCAGCCUCUGAAUUUAACUAUGACAAAUAUGAGUUCUACCAAGGCAUUCCAACACCUUGUUGUUUGCAGUCAUCUUCAGUUUAUUCACACCCCAGAGGCCGACUGUUAAACCAGCGCAAAGUCUUUCAGUUCAGCUUUCUCACUUUUAGUCAUUUAUCACUUUAACGUUCACACAAAACUGUUUUUGGUUAGAGAAUGUGAGUAAUGAUGAUAGCAUCACCGACAUGCUGUGAAACCAUACAGGGCUUUCAAUAAACACAUGAACGUCUCCAAUGUUCCACACAGUCAUUCAGAGUGAAAGAGGAAGGGAUGGCCUGAGGAAAGUUCCUGACAUACUGUAGAAGAAUUGCAUCUGGGGAAGGACCGGGGUUGCGUUUCCCAAAAGCAUCUUAGCCUAUCAUAGAACCAGUGCCACCAAUGGUCUCUAUGGUCAACUUAGCUCUUGGUGCUUUUGAGAAACACAGCCCAGGUUUAUAUUAAGGUUCAACGUGCCUUGUUGCACAAUGUGCACUUUUAAUUUUAUCAUUUAAUUUUAGCAAAGGAAGGAAUUAAGCCAAUGUCUGUUAAUCAUACAAAUUGAAUUCAAGUCUGUAUUUUAUCUGCUUUGACAACUACUAAUAAAAUUGCAACCAUCUUUUCAACAUCACUUCAUGCCUUGCCUGGAGAACAAUUAAAUUUUCCUGUAUCCCCUGAAUGGGAGGAAACAGCUUGGUGGGUACAGUGACCAAAUGCCUCUUUGUCUGCAUUCUCUUCCUGUAUGCUUUAGCAGUGGAAAAUAUUGCCACACAAAGCUUAAAAUGUUGCUAAAAUGUUGUGAUGUCCCCAGCUACUGAUUGGCCUAUCUGCCUUUCACUUACGAUUUUGUUGGAUUUUAGCACAUCUAAAUAUAAAACACUGACUUUAGAUAAAGUUCAAAAAAACUUUAAGAAAAUGUCUACUCAAUUGUGCUCUUUCUUGCAAAAAAAAAGAAAAGAGAUAUGAAAAUUUUCAGUCAGGAUUCAGGCCAGCAUUAUAGCACAGAAAGUGUGCUUGUUAAAAUUACAAAUGACUUUCUAGCUUCUAAUCAAGGCUGCAUCUCAAUACUAGUUUUGCUUUAUCUUAGUGCUGCGUUCGACACUAGAGAUCAUGGCAUACUCUUAGAUAGAUUACAAAAUUACACUGGUAUUCAGGGUCAGCAUUAAGGUGGUUUAGAUUGUACUUAACUCUGUUACCAUUUUGUUUAUUUAAACAGGGAAUUAUCCGAGUUAACGUCAGUAAAUUAUGGAGUGCCACAAGGGUCUGUUUUAGGCCCUCUGCUAUUUUCAAUAUACACAUUUUCAAAAUACAUACUUGCUGGUAAUAUUAUUUGAAAACAUGCAAUUAGUUUCCACUGAUAUGCUACUGAUGAUACUAGGAACGAUUUAUAUUUCAUCACUACUAUGAAAUAUAUUUCAUGUUAUAUAUUUUAUCACUACUAGAUGAAAUCUCUAAAUUAUCCAAGUUGACAGAGUGUGCUAAAGACAUAAAAUAUUGUAUGACCAGUAAUUUUCUUCUGUUAAAUUCUGAGGUAUUACUUAUUGGACCAAAAACCUGUACACAGAAUCUCUUUGAAUAUAAUUUGCAUCUAGAAGGAUGUACUCUAUCCUCUACAGUAAAAGACCUGGGCGUUAUAUUAAACAGCAACUUGUCUUUCAAAAAUCAUAUUUCAUAUGUUUCAAAAACAGCCUUUUUCCACCUCAGAAACAUUGCUAAGCUACAGAACAUGUAUAAAAAUAUAUAACCCCAAUUUUAUCAUGCACUGGUUAUUUAAGUUCUGUAUUGAUUGCAAAAUACUGCUACUGAUCUAUAAGGCCCCAAAUGAUUUAGCUCCUGUAUAUUAAACCAAUGUUCUAUCGUUCAACAAUCUAUCACGCUCUUUAUUUUAGAAACAAAAAAACAAACAAAAAAAAUGGACUUUUGAUAGAACUUAUGAUAUCUAAGUCUACUAAAGGAGAGAAAGUGUUUUCGCAUUUGGUUUACUCUAAAUUGUAAUGUAAUGCAUUUUCCUGUAAAGCUGCUUUGAAACGAUAUUGUGAAAAGCGCUAAACAAAUAAAAGUGAAUUGAAUUGAUUUUUUUUCUGAAGGAAUCUUUGAUUAGGCUAUACCUAUAUAAGGAAGUUCGUGUGCAUGCCUUUUGAAGCAUUUUCAAUUUAAGUUAUAAAAAUCAUUAAUUUUAGCAACAACACUGCCGGCACAUAUCACUUAUUCUUAUCACUUAUAUAUGUAUGACACUAAUAUGUCAGCAUAACAGGAUCUGAGCAAUAUUCAUGAAGAAAUAAGGGAGAUUUGUCAGUCAUUCAUCACUUCCUGUCUCGGCUUCACCAUUGUGUCGCGCUUCCAAAAGACGGAAGAGCCGAAGGAAUGCAGAUAGUUGUUUUCUCGUGGAACUUAGAAAGUUUCCUACACAGGCAACGGAAACAACUUCAUGUUCUUGUUCCAGAGAAGUAACAUAAGGAUCAAUGGAGGAAAAAACACAAAGGCUACCAUGACAGCUGAAAAAAUAUUGUUUUCCAACGCACUGCCAUGACUGAAGAGAAACUCCCAGAGAUUUAAGUCUCACGGCAAGCUAGGCCUCAUUAAAUUAGACCUGGACAUCCUCCAAGGGAUAUGAGCAUUUAAGCUGACAUUCACACCCUCCCUGAAGUUGUGAAACGGACUCUGGCAUUCACAUGCUAUCACUUGAGUCGGUCAUUGUAAGGCAAGCUAAACCAGGUCUCGUGCCGACUCCCCAGGGGUCCUGAGCACACACACCCACCAACACAAACACAUUUACCCAUACUCUAUAUUUCCCCCCAUUGGGCCUCAUGCCUGCCCCCAACUUGGUUUAACCCAAUGAGAAAACACAGGAGGAGGUCAGAGGGCCACCGUUACUCUAAGAGACCAAUGGACAGAGUGACCCUGAAGGCCUUCACAUAGAUCUUUGUACACUUUCUGUCAACAUACCCGCUCUGCUGCUGACUCGGUCUAACCCAUACCUCCUCUGUGAAAUGAUGUCACACAUUUUAUGUGAUUCUUAAACAUAAAGUGGGGGACCUGCUCAAAAUGAUGGUAAAAUCUUAAUCUUACAUGAAGUUUCCUCUAAAAUGUAGCCAUUUUCACAGAAAAUCAAAAUCAUAAACAGUAUUUGCAUGAAUGAGAACUGAUCCUAUGCUAAGGCAACAUAAGUGUGCUGUAAAUGGCAUGGUGGGAUGUUUACGUGGCUCAUUAGUUGUCUGGUGAACUCUGAGCUGGGGUUCAAUGCAGAAUACUACGCCUCAUGUCUCAGUGUGGGAUCCUAGAGGACGUGCAUUAAACACAAGCACGCGUCGUGAACCAUUUUGUGGCUCUUUAAAGAAGGUUUCGGAACAAUACAAACUUAGGUGUCAUCUUAGAGCGGUUUCCUGUGGUGCCACCGUUACAGCCUGUGUUUGGAAAAGAAAAUAGCACAGUGAAACUUUAGACACAACAGAUGAGAGUUAGAGUACUUUAAGACAAGGGGUCAACCGCAUGUAAACACUGCAUUUUCUGUUUUCUAAAUUUACAACUUCUGAACUUGACCCCAACCCUUGGGACAAAUGCCACCACAAGGACUUUAUUUUUCACUAAUUGAACUCAGAUGAAUUAAUUUCACCUCAUCCAGGUUGAUUUUUUGGGAAACAGAGGAGAAUAUUGUUAAUUUAAAGUUAUGUUUACUAUAAUAUGCAAUUAACUAUUUUAAAGUUACUACCCAUCAGUAAGGGUAAUUUAUUGAGUUUUCCUAGCAUGAACCAAAUGGUGUGUUGCAGAUAGCAGGAAAAAAACAAAGCUAAAUGCAAAUAAUGAAAUGCAACAAACCAUUUAAUAAAAAAUAAAUAGGCCUAUCCAUUGAUUGAUUGAUUGAAGUAUGUGCAUCCACUCAAACUUCAAAUCAUCUGUAAUAUGGCUAUACUAACAAUAUUUGGCCUAGAGUUGUCAAAAGUACCGACUUCGGUACCAAGUUGGUACUGAAAUUUUAAAAAUGUGACGCUUUGAGUGCUGUCGAGCGGAUUCGUAAACACCUCUGAUUGGCAAUUGUGUUGACACGCUCAUCGGAUAUGUCUGUGAUUGGCUGCAAUGAUCAACGCUUCAAAAACGUAAAUAGUCAUCAAUGAUGCUCAUCACUGAGCACUUACACAGAUACAAGUGGGAGCAUUUGAAAG